UACAGAGGGUGCGAGCGUUAAUCGGAAUUACUGGGCGUAAAGGGCGCGUAGGCGGUAGUAUGGGUGUGAUGUGAAAGCCCCGGGCUUAACCUGGGAAGAGCAUCGCAAACUAUAAUACUGGAGUAUAAGAGAGGGUGGCGGAAUUUCCGGUGUAGCGGUGAAAUGCGUAGAGAUCGGAAGGAACGUCGAUGGCGAAGGCAGCCACCUGGCUUAAUACUGACGCUGAGGCGCGAAAGCGUGGGGAGCGAACAGG
rnacentral:rRNA from 1 species